AAGAUUAAGCCAUGCAUGUCUAAGCACAUGCCUUAAUACGGUGAAGCCGCGAAUAGCUCAUUACAACAGCCACCGUUUACUAGAAUAUAGUUAUCCUACUUGGAUAACUGUGGCAAUUCUAGAGCUAAUACAUGCAAAAAAGCUCUGCCCGCAAGGAACGAGCGCAUUUAUUAGAAUAAAAACCAAUCGGGUUUCGGCCCGUAAUUUGGUGAAUCUGAAUAACUUUGCCAAUCGCACAGUCCUAGUACUGGCGAUGUAUCUUUCAAGUGUCUGCCUUAUCAACUUUCGAUGGUAGGUUAUACGCCUACCAUGGUAGUAACGGGUAACGGAGAAUAAGGGUUCGACUCCGGAGAGGGAGCCUGAGAAACGGCUACCACAUCCAAGGAAGGCAGCAGGCGCGCAAAUUACCCACUUCCAGAACGGAGAGGUAGUGACGAAAAAUAACGAGACAGUCCUCUUCGAGGUCUGUCAUCGGAAUGGGUACAAUUUAAAUCCUUUAACGAGGAUCUAUUGGAGGGCAAGUCUGGUGCCAGCAGCCGCGGUAAUUCCAGCUCCAAUAGCGUAUAUUAAAGUUGUUGCGGUUAAAACGCUCGUAGUUGGAUCUGCGGCCUCGGAGAACGGUCCCCCGAAAGGGUGGUCACUGUCUCUCCUAGCCUAAAUUCGAGUCGUCUCUAGGUGCUCUUUACCGGGUGCUUAGAGUGACUAGAACGUUUACUUUGAAAAAAUUAGAGUGCUUAAAGCAGGCGAAAUAGCCUGAAUAAGGUGCAUGGAAUAAUGGAAUAGGACCUCGGUUCUAUUUUGUUGGUUUUCGGAACCCGAGGUAAUGAUUAAGAGGAACAGACGGGGGCAUUCGUAUUCCGGCGCUAGAGGUGAAAUUCUUGGACCGCCGGAAGACGGACGACUGCGAAAGCAUUUGCCAAGAAUG
rnacentral:rRNA from 1 species